GAUUUCCAUUUAGUUGCAACUACCAAACUUGUAGUCCAGUCCGUAUUGUAAAUCUUUCGGCUUUUCGGGCAGAAAUCAUGGAAUAAACUUUAUUUUGGAGGUUUCGACAUGAUCUAGGCCUGGAUGAUGCUCCGAUAGUCUAUUGAAAGUCUAAUGCCAAAGUAGAAAUUGGCGUGCAGUCCUGAGAAAAGAAAAGCAGAAAAGAGGCUUCGGAUUUAACAUGUGUCAGCAAUAAGGCCCUAGGAUUCCAAUAAGUUGAAUUUCUUUGUACAAAACUAUUAAAGAGAAGAUUCAAGAAAAACUCUGUAUUUGCAAUACCAGAGGAAGUGUUACAUUUACCAUAUCUCCAGAAUUGCAACUUUGUGUUUGUAAUCUCGACAAUUUAUGUGCAACAUUUUGUUGAAAGAAUCCUCAGUAUUUGUUGUGGUGAACAAAAUAAAUAUUGGCUGU